rnacentral:lncRNA from 1 species
CAAAUAUAGUUGAUAUAUUGGAAUGUGGCUUAAUUGAAUUAUAUGCCGCGGUCCGUAAUACAUACAGGAUACUAUGGCAAGAGUGCUUUAGUUUGUAUACGUGCAACUAUAGUAGAAACAAUUGGGCACACUUUUUUGAGAUAUUCACGUCCGUCUAAUGAUUCCGCUUCCUACUAUCAAACAAAAUGAUCUAGCCAUGAUGACAAAAGUUCCAGAGUGAAGGAAUUGACAGGACUAGGCACCACCCUUCAAUUUCUGAAGAAGACUGCGUUCAUCAGAUGGCUUAUCCAUUCAUAACCCAAAGACUUCAAUGGAAAAUCUUGUUCGACUUGUGUUUUGAGUUGUAGAAGAGGGG